UGUUUCUCUGUUAAAUGUGCUCUGUUUGUCUGGAUAAUUCCACUUGAACCGUCAGCGGCGGACUAUAACAGAUCAUAAUCGCAGUUGUUUGGUGCAAGACCAUAGAAUGGUACCCAGUUUUGCCUGCCCUCAUCAGUCAUCACAAUAUAAAGGAUUUUACAUUUAGAAGACAAUCCUGCAAAUUUGCAGCUGUAGAAAUUGCACUUCAUCUCAUCUGCUGCUGGAAUAAAUAAUGAGAGAUUUUCAAAC